rnacentral:tRNA from 2 species
GCGCACGUAGCUCAGUUGGUUAGAGCGCGUCGCUGAUAACGACGAGGUCCGUGGUUCGAAUCCGCGCGUGCGCA